UAUUGGUAAAUGGGCGAGAGCCUGAACCAGCCAAGUCGCGUGAGGGACGACUGCCCUAUGGGUUGUAAACCUCUUUUGUAUGGGGGGCAUAAGCUUUACGAGUAGAGUGAUGACAGUACCUUACGAAUAAGCACAGGCUAACUCCGUGCCAGCAGCCGCGGUAAUACGGAGGAUGCGAGCGUUAUCCGGAUUUAUUGGGUUUAAAGGGUGCGUAGACGUCAUUAUAAGUUAGUGGUAAAAUAUUGGGGCUUCACCUCACUACGCCAUUAAUACUGUAGAGCUAGAGAACAGACGAGGUAGGCGGAAUAAGUUAAGUAGCGGUGAAAUGCAUAGAUAUAACUUAGAACACCGAUAGCGAAGGCAGCUUACCAGACUGAGUCUGACGCUGAUGCACGAGAGCAUGGGUAGCGAACAGG
rnacentral:rRNA from 1 species